rnacentral:rRNA from 1 species
UUUGAAGAGAGAGUUCAAUAGUACGUGAAACUGCUCAGAGGUAAACAGGUGGGCCCUCGAAGUCCUGUGGCGGGAGGAUUCAGUCGAAUGGUGCGAUUGCCGAGGCAGCAGUGAGACGACGGUCCCACGAAGGGGCUAGCUGCAGCCGGGCGUGUCGUGCCGACCGACGCAUUUGUUUCCCGUCCGAAGGACGCCGCAACCGAUUGGGAGACGGCCUUAAGGACAGGUGACGGAAGGUUGCCGACGGUGUCUCUCGGGACGCUCUGUGGGUGUCAUAUAGCCUACCUGUCGCAUGGCACGUAGCCCGAUCGUGGUAUCACAAGGCCCUCAUGGGCUUGUUCCGUCUCCUCCGUAAAAAACGGACGCGAACGCACGGCGGCAGGGGCUCGACGAGGUUGCUGGCGCACGGAAUUCAAACCGUGGCCAUGCGACCACUCGCCCUUGGUGGCUGCCGGCAGAUUCGUUGGAGGUUGGCGGUUGGCGGCGAGUAGAUCGGUCACCCACCUGACCC